GUGCCAGCAGCCGCGGUAAGACGAACCGUGCGAACGUUGUUCGGAAUCACUGGGCUUAAAGGGCGCGUAGGCGGCCUUGCCAGUCUUCGGGUGAAAUCUUUCGGCUUAACCGGAAAAGUGCCCGGGAUACUGCAAGGCUGGAGGGGGAUAGGGGCGGACGGAACUUCCGGUGGAGCGGUGAAAUGCGUUGAUAUCGGAAGGAACGCCGGUGGCGAAAGCGGUCCGCUGGGUCCCUGCUGACGCUGAGGCGCGAAAGCCAGGGGAGCAAACGGGAUUAGAUACCCCGGUAGUCCUGGCCCUAAACGAUGGGUACUGGGUAGCAGGCUCGGUGGGGCUUGCUGCCGCAGCAAAAGUGGUAAGUACCCCGCCUGGGGAGUAUGGUCGCAAGGCUGAA
rnacentral:rRNA from 1 species